rnacentral:rRNA from 1 species
AGAGUUUGAUCCUGGCUCAGGACAAACGCUGGCGGCGUGCGUAACACAUGCAAGUCGAGCGGGCUGGCUUCGGUCAGUCAGCGGCGGACGGGUGAGUAACACGUGAGUCACCAACCCUCGAGUGGGGGAUACCCAGCGGAAACGUUGGUUAAUCCCGCAUACGCUUCGCAAGAAGGAAAGCCGUAAGGCGCUCGUGGACG